ACGGAAGGCAGCAGUGGGGAAUAUUGCACAAUGGGGGAAACCCUGAUGCAGCGACGCCGCGUGGGUGAAGAAGUUUUUCGGAAUGUAAAGCCCUAUCAGCAGGGAAGAUAAUGACGGUACCUGACUAAGAAGCCCCGGCUAACUACGUGCCAGCAGCCGCGGUAAUACGUAGGGGGCAAGCGUUAUCCGGAUUUACUGGGUGUAAAGGGAGCGUAGACGGAAUAGCAAGUCUGAAGUGAAAUGUAGGGGCUCAACCCCUGAACUGCUUUGGAAACUGUUGAUCUUGAGUACCGGAGGGGCAGGCGGAAUUCCUAGUGUAGCGGUGAAAUGCGUAGAUAUUAGGAGGAACACCAGUGGCGAAGGCGGCUUACUGGACGGUAACUGACGUUGAGGCUCGAAAGCGUGGGGAGCAAACAGGAUUAGAUACCCUGGUA
rnacentral:rRNA from 1 species